GCUCCCCAAACAGACGCACACCCAGCCACACGCGCGCGCGCGCGCGCGCACACACACACACACACACACACACAUACACACACACACACGCACGCACCCCCGCGCGCACACGCCCGCCCGCUCUGCCUCUGCGCCCUCCAUCCCGGCUCGCUCAUUCUCUCGCCCUCUCGCUUCCCCUGCGGUCUCUCGCUCUGCGCGCACACACCACACACACGCACACGCACACACACGCGCGCACACACGCAGCCGGCACAGGCAGCAGCGGCGGCGGCGGCGGCGGCUGCUCAAGUCAGGACGAACCUCUCUAGGUACCUUCUUGAGAAGGCGGCGGCGGCGGCGGCAGCGGCAGCCGGAGCAUCCCUCCUCCGCCGGAGAGGGAGCACCGCCGAGAGUUUCCAUUCCCUUUGCCGUUCCCUUCCCCCUCCUUUUAUUUUUCGAGAGAAUUUCUUCUUCGCUUAUUGGUUUAAUUUGAUUUUGAAAAAUUUUGGUUGCUUGUGUGUGUGCUUCCCCCCCCUUCCUCAUUUUAUUUGCAUCCAGAGCAUGGCGGGCUGCGGGCUGUCGGAAGAUACCUUCUUCUCUUCCUUCUUUUACAACUACGGCUCCUCCUGGGAAACCCCUUCCAACCAGCUGUCAUCACCAGGGUGAUCUUCAGCAUUUGUGCAUGGAGGAUGGACCCAGUGGCUGAGUCUCAGAGUUGCAACACUUCACCUCCCACAAUGCUUUGGUGACCCAGUUAUCUCGCCCACACCCUGGCUUCAUCCUUUGGAAUAGCUCUGCUCCUGGAACCUUAAACUCCAGCGUCAUUGUACAUGACACCAGCCUCAUAGCUUUCUACUCCCUCACCCAUUUUUUUCCAAGAUUGUUGAUCCCAGUACUACCCUCCCUUUCUCCGAGCUCAUCAGUCAUACUUUCCCUCUCUCUCUUUUUUUUUUUAUGCCAGCACAGAAACCAUGAUACAUCACUUUAACUGCUCUCUUGCCAAAACCUCAAAGCCCUUAAUCCCUUGUCCUUCUAUAUUUGUCCUCAAAAUCCCAGUCUUGGGUCAGUCCAACCAACUGCUUUGUUUGCUUCUACAUACAAACUGUUGCAGGCUGUUGGAAAAACCCAGUCACACUAACAAAUGUGAUUUUUAUUGUCCUAAAUCUCAGUGCCACUCACCAAGCUCUUUCUGGGUCAUCACUGUCUGUAUCUGUAACUCCAAUCAUUGCCCACUGUCCUCAACUCCACCUACCACUGGUUCCCUUCCCAGGUGAGGAUUUGUGGCCAUGGGCUCUAAAAAUCACUGCAGAUGGUGACUGCAGCCUUGAAAUUAAAAGACGCUUAUUCCUUGGAAGAAAAGUUAUGACCAACCUAGAUAGCAUAUUCAAAAGCAGAGACAUUACUUUGCCAACAAAGGUCCGUCUAGUCAAGGCUAUGGUUUUUCCAGUGGUCAUGUAUGGAUGUGAGAGUUGGACUGUGAAGAAAGCUGAGUGCCGAAGAAUUUAUGCUUUUGAACUGUGGUGUUGGAGAAGACUCUUGAGAGUCCCUUGGACUGCAAGGAGAUCCAACCAGUCCAUUCUAAAGGAGAUCAGCCCUGGGUGUUCUUUGGAAGGAAUGAUGCUAAAGCUGAAACUCCAGGACUUUGGCCACCUCAUGUGAAGAGUUGACUCAUUGGAAAAGAGUCUGAUGCUGGCAGGGAUUGGGGGCAGGAGGAGAAGGGGAUGACAGAGGAUGAGAUGGCUGGACAGCAUCACCGACUCGAUGGAUGUGAGUUUGAGUGAACUCCUGGAGUUGGUGAUGGACAGGGAGGCCUGGCGUGCUGCAAUUCAUGGGAUCGCAAAGAGUUGGACACGACUGAUUGACUGAACUGAACUGAAUGUGAGCUCCCUCAGCCUUUUGUCUCAUGUCUGGACAUCUCCAUCUUUUCAUUCCUUUCUCAUUUUCUCCAGGACUUUGAUCCAUAGUUGUGGCUUCAUGAUUCCAUACACUUAGGAAUAAAUUUAUCACUUCCAUCCU
rnacentral:lncRNA from 1 species